AAAAGUAUUUUCUUGUUGAGCAGUAAGUUCCUAUCUUCUAAGAACUUAUAGUCAGAGAAAAGGUACUUAAAAUUUGUGAAUAAUUUUGCAAUUAGCUGCCAGUUUGGGGGAUUUCUAAAAUUUUUAUAUUGACUAGUUGAUAGUGUUAUUAUCUUUACAUCAAUACUAUUGCUUAAAUAGUGCAUUUUCCUAUAAAAGGAAAUAGAGGAUAUUUUUUAGUGUUGGAGAAAACCUCAGUGGUGAGGACUGUGUAGAAUAUGAAGUUCUUGAGCUCUAGACAAUCUGUAAGAGCAUCUGAGCUCCAUGAAGAAAUUGUCAUUGGCCUUAGUUUAAAGGUGUGCCAGUAAGUCCAGACCACUGGUAAACCUGUAAGUGAACAUACCCUUCUCAGGUGCCACCAACUGUCAGAUAUGGACCACUUGUAUGUGGAAAGCAAUUUUACGUCUAUUGAGUGCCACUUUUAUUUUGUGAUUUCUUCAAGUAGCAUGUUGAGUAUUGCUUGAAUAAAAAUGGGAAUAUCAUGUACAAUUGAUAAUGAGCAGUAGAUAACUAUUACUAUUACAGAUUAAUAUAUUUUUCUAGGAUUUGCAUCCUUUAAAUACUGUGUUGAUUCUUUUGGGAUUUUCUUUUGGACUUGUGUUAACACCUGUAUAAAAUAUCUAUUAGCAAAGUUGGCACUAAUUCAUGAUAAAAAAAAAACCCCAUAUAAGAUCAAAACAUAUGGUCUUUACCUCAAUCUGAUAAAAACUAUAAAUGACAAACCAAUAGCCAACAUCAUAUUAAAUGAACAGAAACUAAAAGCUUUUCACUCUAAAAUCAGGAACAAGACUAGGAUGUCUGCUAUCAUCAUUCCUAUUCAACAUAGUUGGGGAAACACUAGCCAAAGUAAUUAGACAAGAGAGAUAAAUAAAAGGAAUAAAGAUAGGAAAGGAAGAAAUUAAACUAUCAUUAUUCACAGAUGACAUGCUACUCUAUAUAGGAGACUCCUAAAACUCCACCAAAAGACUUCUAGCUAUAAUUAACAAAUUCAGUAGCAUAGCUGAAUACAAAGUCAGCAGAAAUCAAUAGCAUUCAUGUACACAAACAACAAACUCACCGAGAGAAAUUAGUGAAAACACACCCUUCACGAUAGUACUCCCAAAAUGAAAUACUUAGGAAUCAAUCUAACAAAAAAAUAAAAGAUUUAUACAUUGAAAAUCACAGCACUCUGAAGAAAGAGAUCUAAGAGGAUAUCGUAAAAUGCAAAGAUACCUCUGUUCAUGGAUAGGAAGAACCAACACUGUGAAAAUGACCAUAUUCCCAAAACUGUUACAUAGAUUUAAUGCAAUCUUGAUCAAAAUACCAUUAGCAUACCUCACAGAUUGAGAGAAAACAUUCCCAAAGUUCACUUGAAAACAAAAGAGGCCUAGAAUAGAAAAGACAAUCCUGGGCAACAAAGGCAAGGCAGAGGACCUCAAAAUCCUUGAUUUUAUAUUACAAAACUACUGUGAUAAAAUCAGCAUGGUACCGACAAACAAAACCUACCAGAUGAUGAAUGGAGCAAAUUACACAAUGUAGACACAACUACAGACACACUCAGUCAUCUUCUCUUUGACAAAGGGGCCAAACAUGUUUACUGAAGGAAAGAUAGCCUCCUUAAAAAUAGUGCUGGAAAAACUGGCUCUCUAUAUGCCAAAGUCUAAAACUAGCCCCAUGUCUAUCAUCAUGCACUAAACUCAAAAUGGAUCAAAGAUCUAAAUAUUAAAACAGAAAGACUAACUCUACUGGAAGAGAAAGUGGGUAGAAAUCUUGAAGACAUAGGGGUAGGCAGAGAGUUCAUGAACAUAAAACAAAUUGCAUGGGGAGUACUUCAAAGAAUCAGCAACUACAAUCUCAUCUUAUUAGAAAGUUUUUCAUAUCAAAAGAAAUCACCAAGUUAGUGAAAAGAAAACCCACAAAGUGGGAAAAAAUUUUAGCCAACCGUCCCUCAGAUAUAGGACUACUAUCUAGAACAUACAAAAAAUUGAAAAAAAUCAGGUUUCCCAAAUUCAAAGACCCAAUCCAAAAAUAGGCACCUGAGAUUAAUAUAUACUUCUCAGUUAAACAAAUACAAAUGACAAAUAAAUAUAUAAAAAAUGCAGUUAGCUAAGUUAUACAACCAAUUUCUCUUAUUUCAUUAGGAAAAUGUUUUGCACUUAUAUUGUUUAAUCAAUUAUGCAUGCCUAUAGCUUGUUUUAAUUUGCAUUUCUCAAAUGACCAAUGAUGUUGAACAUUUUUCAUAUAUUUAUUUGUCACUUGUAUUCCUUCAUCUGAGAAGUGUGUAUUUAUCUCAGAUGCCCAUUUUUGGAUUGACUGUUUGAAUUUGGGGAAUCUGAGCAACACAAUAUAUUAACUAUUGUUAAUUUCCUAUCAUCUUGUUUUGAAAUUCUGUAUCGUUUUUAUUAUUUUUUCUCUUUAAAAUAAAAAACAAAAAAUAAAAUAUUUAUUAGCAUUCGAGGGUGUGAUGUACCUUCCUAUGGACAUUGUGCAGUAUUAUGAUACAAAGGUAACAGUAUCAGAUGGUAUAAAAGAGAAAGGCAUCUGGUUGUGGGUGAUUUUUCACUUGUCAGCAAGACCUACUUGCUUUUAUGAUGGAUGGAAUAUAUGUUAUGAAACUGAUUUGAUUUGAGAGUGCUUAUUGAUCUGCUUAGACCUCUGAUAUUCCACUGUAAUAUUCCAUUCCCUUAGCUUUGAGUUUACUUAAGAUAUAUUACUGGCUUGAGUGAGAGCCCGUUACACAUUAAGCUGAUUAUUAAUCAUUAGUGCCAUGCUGAGAAUUGCUUUGCGCGGUGGCUCUGUGCUACUGAGGCUGGUGAAGCCUGGGGACUCAGCAGCAAGGAGCUGCCCUGACUCAGCAAAAGUUCUUGGUUCCCAUCUGGUCCUCAUCAUGAGCUGGCUGCUGUCUUAGAAGUACCUAGAACAAAGACCCCUUGACAGGAAAGUGACAAAAUCUGUUGAGCACAGAUCAGGCUCAUGCUCUUUGUACAGCUGGACAUAAAGAAGACCCCUCGAAAUUCCAGACUUCUGUUACCCUUAUAGCUGGGCUUCGCCAGAAGAGAAAGAUCCUGCAGAGGGCUACCCCUAAGUACCCAUCUGAUUUCUGGUGUCUCAGUGGGCUGGCUCAGGCUGACUGUGAGGCAGAACAUCAUGGUGGACAUGGAGUAUGAAGUAGAGGGGAACCUCUCAGGUCAUGGAAGCUGGAAAGCAGGAAAGGAAAAGAACAAGGAUGACAGAGCUGGGGACCAGCUAAGGCCUCCAAGAUUGCAACUCCAUAAGCCUUCAAAUUGUACCAUCUCCUGUUUCCAUCACCUACCAAAAAUGCCAUAAGAUUAUGAUCUCAUCAGUGAAGUAAUCCACUUGACAAAGUUAGAGCUUUUAUGAGUCAGUCAUUUUCCAAAAAGCCCAUCGACUAGCAACCAGAUCUUUAGCACACGAAUUAUGGAGGACAUUUCAAAUCCAAACCAUAAUGGCACCAGUUAGCAAUAAAAAAAGGAUGUUGUAUUUUCACAUCUGGGACAUGGGGUGGGAUUACAUUUAAAUAUAGAAUGGUUAUGGUCUAAUUCUAUUGAAUCAAGCUUAUAAAAUAUUAUAACUAAUUGUAUUGUCUUUUUACAAUUGGUACCUGAAGAGUUCAUGCUAGUAAUCACAGGCAGUAGAUAGAUCCAGGAAUAAAAGUGGAAGUGUGAUAUGGUGGAGAGGUUUUUAGGACAGAGUGGGAUAAAGAGAAAUUAGAGAUCACAGACAUGUACAGAGACUGGUUACAUUAUCUUCAGUGCAUUGCUCAUAUAUACCCUUUAAAACAUGGUCUUUAAUUUUUCUGUCCUUCUCUGUCUCCCAGAAUUACUUCCUCUUAAAACGAUGGCCAUGUCCACAUGUUACCACAAGUGGUAAGGAAAAAAAGUCUCUGUCUUAAAAGAACAUAUGAUUUAAUGGCAAAAUGCUGUGUUAUUUGUAAGGUUACAAAGAACAGCUAUACUGUCCAUCAAUCAUCUGAUUUUAGAAACUACUGAAGCUAUUUGUUUAGCAUUUGACAGGUGUUCCAUAGUGUAAGCCUUCAGCCUGCUAAUGAAUAAUUCCAAAUCUUCAUUUCCUCCUCUCUGUUGAAGCUGUGGCCAGCAGCAGGAAAUCCAAGCAACAGGAAGUCCCCACAGCAGGAACCUUGGGAGCUGCAGGAAAAGGGGGUUACUAAUUAAGCCCACCUCACCUUGGCUCUAGAUUCUUUCUCUGCCAGAUGGACUUUUCUGCUCAGCACACCUUGUCUGGGCUCACUCUCUGCCUGCCCUCCAGUGACAAGCAAUGAGGUUGCCUGGGGUAUCAGUGGGAGAGGUAGAGAUUCCCUCACACCCUUGGUUCUAGUUUAGAAUUCUCACUUGCUGAUUUGUACACAAAACAUAAGUACAGGAACAUUGUUAUUUUGGCUCAGAUUAGAGGUUGUUUAUGUACAAUCUGAACUGUUCUAAGCCCAGCUGAAUCAAAAGAAAUGAGAUAUUUUCUCCUCUUUGUGUGUUAUUUUGUAGGAAAUAUUACUCAUUUUGAAAUUAGAUGGUUUUGUUUCAUGAUAUAUAACUCAAAUGUAUUGGGAUUUGACUUUCUGUUUAUGUUUUGUAACUUUGUUUAAUUUUUUAAAAAAAUUUCAAGUCUAUCAUUCAUCAUGUGUUCACUAAGUGAAAUUCUUUUGCAAAACUAGAACUUUUCGCUUGCUCUCUCAAGUACCUUUGGGAACUUACAGUUUGUUUUUGCUUUUUAGUAACUUUCCAGUAUGACUCUGUUCAAGUUGGAUCAUGCAUUUUUUGCAUCAUGACCUAAUAAUAUCAAAUUGUGAGCCAUUUUUUGCUUGAAUAUAAAACCUAAACUCAUUUUAUGCUUUUCCUGUAUCCUGGUGUUAGACAUUUAUUUAGAAAUACCUGGCUCCUUUUGGUGGAAAUAUUUGAAAUUAGUAUUCUUUCUAUGUAUCUAUGUGAACCGCUUGACAAACUGUUAGUUUAACUUACAUUUGUAUUCAGUUUUCGUCCUUCCUCUUUUUCAUUGCUUGCUUGGUUUUGUUUUGCUUUCACCCCUAAUGAGUUGAUUUGAUGUUUUGAAUUGAUCCAAUGGUUUCAUUUCUGGAAUGUGUGAUAAUAAAAUGACAACAUUUCUAGCUGUCAGAUGAUUCUGUCUCUCAGUGUGUGAGCAGUGAAGAUCUUGUACCAGAGCACUCAGGAGUGGAACUAUCAGCAAUAAUGAGUUACUCCUGUGAAAGCAGAGGACCAAGUCUCUAGAACCCAAGGCCACAGAAAAAAAAAAUUCAGGAAUAGUGAUUUAGUCUCAAAUGGGGUGAGAAGGUGCUUACUUUUAUCUCAUUGCUGAGAUAAAAUACCCAACACCCAAAGGAAAGAAAGAUUCAUUUAGUUCACAGUUGGUAGAGAUUUCAGUCUAUAUUCAGCUGGAUUCAAGGUAGGGUGGUACAUGGCAGAGGGGCAACAGUUCAUGGUGCUAGAAGACAGCAAAUGCACCAAAAGUGGAAGGGAGCAGGAGCAAGCCUCUUUUCCUCCCUUAUAUUGUAUGCAGGAUAUGCACGGUAAGGUGGGUGUAACACUCACACCCCAACCCUAGUACCAGACAAUGAACCAGUCACAAAUUCUGGAUUCAGCCACUUCCAAAAAGCCCACCUCUCAUGACUGCAUGAGGCUUUGGAGGGACAUUCAGACACAAACCAUAACUGAAUGUAAAUUUUCAAAGUAAAUAUAGAUGAAUAUUUAGUAAAGAAAUAUUAAUA